CGUGUAGGCGGCCUCUUAAGUCUGGUGUGAAAGCCCGGGGCUUACCCCCGGAAGGGCACUGGAAACUGGGAGGCUAGAGUACCGGAGAGGAGGGUGGAAUUCCUGGUGUAGCGGUGAAAUGCGUAGAUAUCAGGAGGAACACCGGUGGCGAAGGCGGCCCUCUGGACGGAUACUGACGCUGAGACGCGAAAGCGUGGGGAGCAAACAGGAUUAGAUACCCUGGUAGUCCACGCUGUAAACGAUGGGCACUAGGUGUUCGGGGUAUUGACCCCUGAGUGCCGCAGCUAACGCAUUAAGUGCCCCGCUGGGGACUACGGCCGCAAGGUUAAA
rnacentral:rRNA from 1 species